rnacentral:rRNA from 1 species
CCUUGACAUGUCCGGAAGGCUUGAGAGAUCAGGUUGUGCCCGAAAGGGAACCGGAACACAGGUGCUGCAUGGCUGUCGUCAGCUCGUGUCGUGAGAUGUUGGGUUAAGUCCCGCAACGAGCGCAACCCUUGUCAUUAGUUGCUACAUUCAGUUGGGCACUCUAAUGAGACUGCCGGUGACAAACCGGAGGAAGGUGGGGAUGACGUCAAGUCCUCAUGGCCCUUAUGGGUAGGGCUUCACACGUAAUACAAUGGCGCGUACAGAGGGUUGCCAAGCCGCGAGGUGGAGCCAAUCCCUUAAAGCGCGUCGUAGUCCGGAUUGCAGUCUGCAACUCGACUGCAUGAAGUCGGAAUCGCUAGUAAUCGCGGAUCAGCAUGUCGCGGUGAAUACGUUCCCGGGUCUUGUACACACCGCCCGUCACACCAUGGGAGUGGGUUUCACCAGAAGCCGGUCGCCUAACCGCAAGGAGGGCGCCGACCACGGUGAGAUUCAUGACUGGGGUG